rnacentral:lncRNA from 1 species
UAUUGAAAUAUAUAGGAGGGAAAACCCAAGGGGGGACCAAGAGGACUGAACUGACACAAAAAAAAAAAAAGUAUUCAUGCAUGUGUUUAUGUAUUGAAAUAUAUAGGAGGGAAAACCCAAGGGGGACCAAGAGGACUGCAGACUGGACACAGAAAAAAAAAAAAAAAAAAAAAAAAAAAAAAAAAAAAAAAAAAAAAAAAAAAAAAAAAAAAAAAAAAAAAAAAAAAAAAAAAAAAAAAAGUAUUCAUGCAUGUGUUUAUUUAUUGAAAUAUAUAGGAGGGAAAACCCAAGGGGGGACCAAGAGGACUGCAGACUGGACACAGAAAAAAAAAAAAAAAAAAAGUAUUCAUGCAUGUGUUUAUGUAUUGAAAUAUAUAGGAGGGAAAACCCAAGGGGGGACCAAGAGGACUGCAGACUGGACACAGAAAAAAAAAAAAAAAAAAAAAGUAUUCAUGCAUGUGUUUAUGUAUUGAAAUGUAGAUACUUUUAUGAGGAAUGUGUCCGUGUACUUACAUUUUUCAAAAGAUAAUCUUCAAUGGUAAGACUUGUUUUAUUCGCGCCUCUUCUGGUGUAGCAUAUAACGUGAGUUUUAUUUAGGCAUAUCAGAUGCAUAGCGUGUGUAAUGUGUAGGCCAUUUCAUUCCGUUCUUGCAAUGUGAAUAAUUCAUUUCAAUAUGCUUAUAUCCCUUUUGUGCGCGCUUGUGCGUUUAACGGGGCUUGUUUGUGUGAGCCAGUGCAUUUAUCAUUCAUCUGUUGAUGCUCGAGUUUAAUAAAGGCAGGCUAUUCUUAAGAAACGUAUGUAAA